AACGCACGAGACCUGCGGACCUGCGGAGGGAUCAUUACCGGUUUUCGGGUGCGUCUCGGCGCGCCCAAACCCCCAACCCUGUGAUUUUAUCUCAACCUGUUUCUUUGCCGGCCCCCGGCCGGCAGAAGUUUUCUCAAACCCAUUGUAAUCGUGUCGUCUGAAAAAGUCAUGUUUGAUAAUGAAAUCAAAACUUUCAGCAACGGAUCUCU
rnacentral:misc_RNA from 1 species